GUAGGUGGCAAGCGUUGUCCGGAAUUAUUGGGCGUAAAGCGCGCGCAGGCGGUUCUUUAAGUCUGAUGUGAAAGCCCACGGCUCAACCGUGGAGGGUCAUUGGAAACUGGAGAACUUGAGUACAGAAGAGGAAAGCGGAAUUCCACGUGUAGCGGUGAAAUGCGUAGAGAUGUGGAGGAACACCAGUGGCGAAGGCGGCUUUCUGGUCUGUAACUGACGCUGAGGCGCGAAAGCGUGGGGAGCAAACAGGAUUAGAUACCCUGGUAGUCCACGCCGUAAACGAUGAGUGCUAAGUGUUAGGGGGGUUUCCGCCCCCCUUAGUGCUGCAGCUAAUGCAUUAAGCACUCCGCCUGGGAGUACGGCCGCAAGGCUG
rnacentral:rRNA from 1 species